ACUCCUACGGGAGGCAGCAGUGGGGAAUAUUGCACAAUGGGCGCAAGCCUGAUGCAGCCAUGCCGCGUGUGUGAAGAAGGCCUUCGGGUUGUAAAGCACUUUCAGUCGUGAGGAAGGUAGUGUAGUUAAUAGCUGCAUUAUUUGACGUUAGCGACAGAAGAAGCACCGGCUAACUCCGUGCCAGCAGCCGCGGUAAUACGGAGGGUGCGAGCGUUAAUCGGAAUUACUGGGCGUAAAAGCGCAUGCAGGCGGCCUGUUAAGUCAGAUGUGAAAGACCCGGGGCUUAACCUCGGAAUUGCAUUUGAAACUGGCAGGCUAGAGUCUGUAGAGGGGGGUAGAAUUUCAGGUGUAGCGGUGAAAUGCGUAGAGAUACUGAAGGAAUACCAGUGGACGAAGGCGGCCCCCUGGACAAAGACUGAACGCUCAGAU
rnacentral:rRNA from 1 species